rnacentral:RNase_P_RNA from 3 species
AAACCGGAACGCGCAGUCGCCGCCGGUCUUCAGGACCGGCGGAGGAAAGUCCGAACAUCGCAGGGCAGGGUGCCGGCCGAGAGUUGAAUCUCAAGUCCGGGGGCGGAGGCGCAAGCCCGUCGCCACAGAGAGUGCAACAGAAAGCAAACCGCCCCGGUUUUCCGGGGUAAGGGUGAAACGGGGGUGUAAGAGACCACCAGACGCGUCAGUAAUGGCGCGUGCUAUGAAAACCUCCCCGAUGCAAGGCCAAAUAGGGAAACUUUCCCGCAAGGGUAGAGAGUUGCCCGCUCAAUUCCAAAGGGCGCCUCUGCCGGUUGUCGCGAGCAGAACGAGCAGCAAGCCGGCAGAGGCGCCCCGAAGAGAGUUUCCGGGUGAGCCGCAUAGAUAAAUGACUGCACCCCGCUCCGGCGGGGAACGGAAUUCGGCUUACAGUUCCGGUUUCAUU